CGGGGUCUACAGCAAGGGAGCUUUCCAAGCUGAGGAACUGGCGGGCGCUAGCAAUGGAGUCGGUUGCUGUUGAGAGCUCCCCAGCUCUAGAGAAUGAACACUUUCAAGAGACCCCAGAAUCGAACAGCAGUGUGUAUACCUCCUUCAUGAAAUCUCAUCGCUGCUAUGACCUGAUUCCCACAAGCUCCAAGCUGGUCGUAUUUGACACUUCGCUGCAGGUAAAGAAAGCCUUCUUUGCCCUGGUGACUAACGGUGUUCGCGCUGCCCCUUUGUGGGACAGUAAGAAGCAGAGUUUUGUGGGCAUGCUGACCAUCACUGACUUCAUCAAUAUUCUGCACCGAUACUAUAAGUCAGCCCUGGUGCAGAUCUAUGAACUGGAGGAGCACAAGAUAGAGACUUGGAGAGAGGUGUACCUGCAGGACUCCUUUAAGCCACUUGUCUGCAUUUCUCCAAAUGCCAGCUUGUUUGACGCUGUCUCUUCAUUAAUCCGAAAUAAGAUCCAUAGGCUCCCAGUCAUCGACCCGGAGUCAGGCAACACCUUGUACAUCCUCACUCACAAGCGGAUCCUCAAGUUCCUCAAGUUGUUUAUCACCGAGUUCCCCAAGCCGGAAUUCAUGUCUAAGUCUCUGGAAGAGCUACAGAUUGGCACCUAUGCCAAUAUUGCCAUGGUCCGCACUACCACGCCCGUCUACGUGGCUCUGGGCAUCUUUGUACAGCACCGAGUCUCCGCCUUGCCUGUGGUCGAUGAGAAAGGUGAGGUAUUGGGCAAGAAGAGGGAGGCUGCCUGGGUCAGGUCACUCUCCCCUCAACCCAGCCUGGAAGGGGAUCCCGUGUGGAGCGGGAGCUUUGGCUACUGCAUUCUGUUUUGUUUUACUGAGCUGCCUGUCUCCCCAGGGCGUGUGGUGGACAUCUACUCCAAGUUUGAUGUGAUCGUGAGUGGGGUGGAGGGGCUGGGAGGUAGGGAAGGGGAGGGUGUGUUGGAUGUAGAGAGGGAGCAGAAGGGGGUCUCCUCUGCCUUGGGCGCCUCUGAAUCCUAUCUGAACAAGGUGACAGAACUGAUUACGGCUAGUGAGCAGAGCUAAGGAGUACCCUCAGUCUCAGUCCCUCUGGUGAGGCUGGGUGGGUCCAGGGUUUGGGAACUGACUCCCUUUCAAGCCCCCCCCACAACACACACUUCCAGAAUUUGGCAGCAGAAAAGACCUACAACAACCUAGAUGUGUCUGUGACAAAAGCCCUACAACAUCGGUCACACUACUUCGAGGGUGUUCUCAAGUGCUACCUGCAUGAGACUCUGGAAGCCAUCAUCAAUAGGCUGGUGGAAGCAGAGGUUCACCGUCUGGUGGUGGUGGAUGAGCAUGACGUGGUCAAGGGCAUUGUUUCGCUGUCUGACAUCUUGCAGGCUCUGGUGCUCACGGGUGGAGAGAAGAGACCCUGAGCACGGGGAGGAGCGGGCAGUGCCUGGGGACAUGGCCCCUCACUGCCUGCCUGCAGGAAGCACCAGGAAUCAGAUGGAAUCCAGGGAGAACUGAGUCUUCCCUCAGGAGCUCCAUGCCCACUGUCUAGAACUAGAGAAGAGAAAGGAGGAGGACUGUUACACUGAGAGAAUGUCAGCCUAGCCAGUCCCAUCCCCUGACACAGCCCCCUCUGGGUGAGCCACUGGCUUUGUGCUCCUCAGGCAGACCCUGGUCUCUAAGAGAUCCCUAGGCCUCACCACACCCCACCUCCGCCCCACCUCCGUCCCUGCCCUUACCCCACCUGAGAUGAUAGCUCAGAAGUCUUGGUAAAGUAUUUUUAUUCAUCUUGCUUCACUGUGUGGAGGAGGCUGGGCCUGUUUGCUGUCAGUCCUUCCCAUGAGUCUUGGGAGGCGCGUCCGGGUUCCUGUACCGCACAGAUGAAGGCAGAUGGCCAUGUGGAGGAGGGGGGGGGUAGGGAGCCAGGAUUAAUGCUUUUUGUGGCGAAUCUAAUUAAAUGACAAGGUUUCAUCAUGGUA